rnacentral:rRNA from 1 species
AAAAACUUUCAACAACGGAUCUCUAGGCUCUUGCAUCGAUGAAGAACGCAGUGAAAUGCGAUAAGUAAUGUGAAUUGCAGAAUCUCGUGAAUCAUUGAAUCUUUGAACGCACAUUGCGCCCUAUGGUAUUCCAUUGGGCAUGCCUGUCUGAGCGUCA